AGAGAGAGACAUGCGCGCAUAUCAAUAAGCGGAGGAAAAGAAACUAACGAGGAUUCCCUCAGUAACGGCGAGUGAAGCGGGAAGAGCUCAAAUUUGAAAUCUUCAAGGGUUUACCUUUACGAAUUGUAGUUUAAAGAAGUGUUUUCUGUUGAGGUUUUGGUAAAAGUUCUUUGGAAUAGGACAUCAUAGAGGGUGAGAAUCCCGUAUUUGACCAUUACUUUCAACUUUGUGAUACACUUUCAAAGAGUCGGAUUGUUUGGGAAUGCAGUCCAAAAUGGGUGGUAAAUUUCAUCUAAAGCUAAAUAUUGGCGAGAGACCGAUAGCGAACAAGUACCGUGAGGGAAAGAUGAAAAGAACUUUGAAAAGAGAGUUAAACAGUACGUGAAAUUGUCAAAAGGGAAGCGUUUGACACCAGUGUUGUUUUUCUCGAAAAUCAAUUAAAGAAGCAUGAUUUAUGUAAGUUGUAUUAGACUUUAUCAGCUUAACUGCCUCUUAGUUCUUGAGCUUUUCUUUAAUGCACUUUUCAGUUAACAAGUCAACAUCAAUUUCUUUUGUUGUAAAAGGGUCAUUGGAAGGUGGCUUUCUUUUCGGAGAAAGUGUUUAUAGCCUUUGGCCUCUGCAAUCGGAGAGAUUGAGGUCUGCAGCGUAGAUCCUUCGGGGUUAGAUACAUUUGUGCUAAGUUAUAGCCUUUCAUAGACAACUUGUUGACUAUGAUCAGUCAUGUAGCUUACUCGCUUAUGCUAUUUUACCUACGCUUAGGAUGUUGAUGUGAUACUGCGAGCA
rnacentral:rRNA from 1 species